rnacentral:rRNA from 1 species
UCCUACGGGCGGCAGCAGUGGGGAAUAUUGGACAAUGGGCGCAAGCCUGAUCCAGCCAUGCCGCGUGAGUGAUGAAGGCCUUAGGGUUGUAAAGCUCUUUUGUCCGGGACGAUAAUGACGGUACCGGAAGAAUAAGCCCCGGCUAACUUCGUGCCAGCAGCCGCGGUAAUACGAAGGGGGCUAGCGUUGCUCGGAAUCACUGGGCGUAAAGGGCGCGUAGGCGGCCGAUUAAGUCGGGGGUGAAAGCCUGUGGCUCAACCACAGAAUUGCCUUCGAUACUGGUUGGCUUGAGACCGGAAGAGGACAGCGGAACUGCGAGUGUAGAGGUGAAAUUCGUAGAUAUUCGCAAGAACACCAGUGGCGAAGGCGGCUGUCUGGUCCGGUUCUGACGCUGAGGCGCGAAAGCGUGGGGAGCAAACAGGAUUAGAUACCCUAGUAGUC